AUUGAACGCUGGCGGCAGGCCUAACACAUGCAAGUCGAGCGGAUGAAGGGAGCUUGCUCCUGGAUUCAGCGGCGGACGGGUGAGUAAUGCCUAGGAAUCUGCCUGGUAGUGGGGGAUAACGUCCGGAAACGGGCGCUAAUACCGCAUACGUCCUGAGGGAGAAAGUGGGGGAUCUUCGGACCUCACGCUAUCAGAUGAGCCUAGGUCGGAUUAGCUAGUUGGUGGGGUAAAGGCCUACCAAGGCGACGAUCCGUAACUGGUCUGAGAGGAUGAUCAGUCACACUGGAACUGAGACACGUUCCAGACUCCUACGGGAGGCAGCAGUGGGGAAUAUUGCACAAUGGGCGAAAGCCUGAUCCAGCCAUGCCGCGUGUGUGAAGAAGGUCUUCGGAUUGUAAAGCACUUUAAGUUGGGAGGAAGGGCAGUAAGUUAAUACCUUGCUAUUUUGACGUUACCAACAGAAUAAGCACCGGCUAACUUCGUG
rnacentral:rRNA from 1 species